GAGGAAGAACGCAGUGAAAUGCGAUAAGUAAUGUGAAUUGCAGAAUUCAGUGAAUCAUCGAAUCUUUGAACGCACAUUGCGCCCCUUGGUAUUCCGAGGGGCAUGCCUGUUCGAGCGUCAUUAUAACCCCUCAAGCUCAGCUUGGUGUUGGGGCCUGCUGCACUGGCAGCCCUUAAAAUCAGUGGCGGCGCCAUCUGGCUCUAAGCGUAGUAAUUCUUCUCGCUAUGGAGUCCUGGUGGAUGCUUGCCAUCAACCCCCAAUUUUUCUAUGGUUGACCUCGGAUCAGGUAGGGAUACCCGCUGAACUUAAGCAUAUCAAUAAGCGGAGGA
rnacentral:misc_RNA from 1 species